rnacentral:rRNA from 1 species
CCUACGGGAGGCAGCAGUGAGGAAUAUUGGUCAAUGGACGAGAGUCUGAACCAGCCAAGUAGCGUGAAGGAUGACUGCCCUAUGGGUUGUAAACUUCUUUUAUAUGGGAAUAAAACGUUCCACGUGUGGGAUUUUGUAUGUACCAUAUGAAUAAGGAUCGGCUAACUCCGUGCCAGCAGCCGCGGUAAUACGGAGGAUCCGAGCGUUAUCCGGAUUUAUUGGGUUUAAAGGGAGCGUAGGUGGAUUGUUAAGUCAGUUGUGAAAGUUUGCGGCUCAACCGUAAAAUUGCAGUUGAAACUGGCAGUCUUGAGUACAGUAGAGGUGGGCGGAAUUCGUGGUGUAGCGGUGAAAUGCUUAGAUAUCACGGAGAACUCCGAUUGCGAAGGCAGUUCACUGGACUGCAACUGACACUGAGGCUCGAAAGUGUGGGUAUCAAACAGGAUUAGAUACCCCAGUAGUC